UACUUUUCUUUUUAGGGAAGGAAAUUUCUACUUAUAAAGCCAAAAAAAAAUUCUAUUUAUUACAUGGAGAUGAAAAUAUGACUCAAAUUCUCAAGUUUAUUUACACUUUAAUCAUCUUUCUUUCUCUAUUUCUUGUUGAAACCAACAGUGCUCCGAAACCAUGUGUUACUGUUAAGGAUUGUCCCAAGACGGUUUUUCCUAUAGGUUAUAAGUGCAUUAAAAAUCUUUGUAUACUGGUUAUAUAAUUAUAAUGUAACAAUAUACUUUUUUUUUGUUACUGUAACAAUAUACAUAUGAUGUAUGCUAUUUUGAUCUUUAAUAUAUUAAUAAUACAUAAAUGUUAAGAUUAAAUA